rnacentral:rRNA from 1 species
UACGAAGGGGGCUAGCGUUGUUCGGAAUUACUGGGCGUAAAGGGCGCGUAGGCGGCUUUUUGCGUGAGAUGUGAAAGACCUGGGCUCAACCUGGGAAGUGCAUUUCAUACGGGAAAGCUAGAGUGCGAGAGGGGAAAGUGGAAUGAUGCGUGUAGAGGUGAAAUUCGUAGAUAUGCAUCGGAACACCAGUGGCGAAGGCGACUUUCUGGCUCGUAACUGACGCUAAGGCGCGAAAGCGUGGGGAGCAAACAGG